UGCCAGACUCCUACGGGAGGCAGCAGUGGGGGAUAUUGCACAAUGGGGGGAACCCUGAUGCAGCGACGCCGCGUGGGUGAAGAAGCGCCUCGGCGCGUAAAGCCCUGUCAGCAGGGAAGAAAAUGACGGUACCUGAAGAAGAAGCCCCGGCUAACUACGUGCCAGCAGCCGCGGUAAUACGUAGGGGGCAAGCGUUAUCCGGAUUUACUGGGUGUAAAGGGGGCGCAGACGGCGAUGCAAGCCAGGAGUGAAGGCCCGGGGCCCAACCCCGGGACUGCUCUUGGAACUGCGUGGCUGGAGUGCAGGAGGGGCAGGCGGAAUUCCUGGUGUAGCGGUGAAAUGCGUAGAUAUCAGGAGGAACACCGGUGGCGAAGGCGGCUUACUGGACAGUGACUGACGUUGAGGCUCGAAAGCGUGGGGAGCGAACAGGAUUAGAUACCCCUGUA
rnacentral:rRNA from 1 species